GCCCUGAUAGUAUAACCAAUUACUUUGGUCUUGUAAACCAGAAAUGAAGAAAAAAUCUUCUCAGGGCA
rnacentral:tRNA from 1 species